rnacentral:lncRNA from 1 species
CGGGAUGGUGUAGCCUUAAUGAAUACGACCCAGUCCUAACGGGAUGGUGUAGCCUUAAUGAAUACGACCCAGUCCUAACUGGAGGAUGUAGCCCUAAUGAAUACGACCCAGUCCUAACGGGAUGAUGUAGCCUUAAUGAAUACGACCCAGUCCUAACGGGAUGAUGUAGCCUUAAUGAAUACGACCCAGUCCUAACGGGAUGGUGUAGCCUUAAUGAAUACGACCCAGUCCUAACGGGAUGAUGUAGCCUUAAUGAAUACGACCCAGUCCUAACGGGAUGGUGUAGCCUUAAUGAAUACGACCCAGUCCUAACUGGAGGAUGUAGCCCUAAUGAAUACGACCCAGUCCUAACGGGAUGAUGUAGCCCUAAUGAAUACGACCCACUCCUAACGGGAUGAUGUAGCCCUAAUGAAUACGACCCAGUGCUAACGGGAUGAUGUAGCCCUAAUGAAUACGACCCAGUCCUAACUGGAGGAUGUAGCCCUAAUGAAUACGACCCAGUCCUAACGGGAUGACUCAUGCUGACUUGCCCAUUGACACUCAUUAGGCUAAGCUCGGGUCCCUCGAACCGUAAUAUACAAGGUUACUUAUCUUCUCUUGUCCCGCGGCCCAGCAACUGCUAGCAUCAGUUAGGGGUCAUUAGCCACACGGCCUGGAAUAAAUGGCCUCUGAUCGUAUCGGCGCUAACCUCCAGCACAGUUGUUUUUGCACAUUUCGUAGCCGAGGAGGAAAGGACAGAGGGGGACUUCUCGCUCUCUUCUGCUCUCUUGGCUUCCUUAUUUUCUACUCUUCUUCUCUUCACCAUAAAGGUUCUUUGGCUGUCCCUGUAGGUAACAAAACAUUCAGGAGCGAGGUGGCCAGAGGAUCAUAGGGUUUUGAUCUGGCAGAGAGGCAUUGAUACGGGUCCUGCCUACCCCUCGACUCUAUGAAUAUUACCAGUUUAAAACUACAGGCCUCUGAAAGGCACUGCAGCAGUGUAUUCACAACAGCAGCUCCUUUUUUUUGUUGCAGACACUCCUUCAUUACGACGUCUCUGUUCCCUCCUUUCUCUCCUUUCAUCUCCGGCUCUUCCUCUGUCUG